GAUGAACGCUGGCGGCGUGCCUAAUACAUGCAAGUCGAGCGAAUGGAUUAAGAGCUUGCUCUUAUGAAGUUAGCGGCGGACGGGUGAGUAACACGUGGGUAACCUGCCCAUAAGACUGGGAUAACUCCGGGAAACCGGGGCUAAUACCGGAUAACAUUUUGAACCGCACGGUUCGAAAUUGAAAAGCGGCUUCGGCUGUCACUCAUGGAUGGACCCGCGUCGCAUUAGCUAGUUGGUGAGGUAACGGCUCACCAAGGCAACGAUGCGUAGCCGACCUGAGAGGGUGAUCGGCCACACUGGGACUGAGACACGGCCCAGACUCCUACGGGAGGCAGCAGUAGGGAAUCUUCCGCAAUGGACGAAAGUCUGACGGAGCAACGCCGCGUGAGUGAUGAAGGCUUUCGGGUCGUAAAACUCUGUUGUUAGGGAAGAACAAGCGCUAGUUGAAUAAGCUGGCACCUUGACGGUACCUAACCAGAAAGCCACGGCUAACUACGUGCCAGCCGCCGCGGUAA
rnacentral:rRNA from 1 species